UCAUUUAUUUUAUUAAUCAGAAAAAUUAUUUAUUACAAUUAAAUAAACACAUAUGCUUUUAAAGAGCAUAUUUUCCCAACAUAUCUCCCACGCUUGCAUUGCGGUAGAGUGAGUUGCCACCUUCUUCGUGAAGCUUCCGGUUGAAGAGUUUACUGAGAUUGUAUACGUAGAUGAUGGAAGCAGUAUUAUUAGUGCCGCGUGGGCAGAAUUUGUACUGAUAGUCCGCGGGGUUGGCGACUUCAGCUUCAGCGUCCCAUGAGCUCCGUAACAUAAGCAUAGCUAAGCAAAGAAAGGAAACAAGGUGAAGCAACCGAAUUAUGAUCGGCAUAUUUAUUAGUUAUUCAAUAUAUAAAGCAGAUUUACUGGAAAAGCAAAGCCUUAGCCAACAUUAUAUAUCGAUCGAUGUCUAGCAAACCAGUGUAGACUAUUGAUUAAAUUAAUUAAUUCCCUGUAAAUUUCCAGGCAUUUUCACAUUGGAGGUUGUAGUCAUAUUCUCUAAGUUGAAAGUCCACGCAAAUUCAAACGUGUUUAUUGAGUGAGCACUGUGAGCGACUAGACUUUUAUUAUAAAGAAAAAGCAGAAAUUUUGAAAUUUUGCAAAUCUUGUAUGAUUUGAAAUUUUGAAACAUCCCUGUAAAAUUGAACAGAAAAACAUCAAUUUAAUCUAAUAAGUAGCUAGGUUUAAUCGAAUAAAUGUCACUUUUAAUAACUUUUGUAAAUAUAUGCUGCUGUUUCGGUUUUAAUACGAUAAUAAAUGCAGUAACCAUUUUCCCAAUUAAAUAUUACUUGACAAUCACAACCAUCUCUUACUAAAUUUGUGCUUCUCAUAAUCUUCCAAGACCAGGACGUUCAGAUGGUUAUUGACUAUUGCAGCAAAUGCUAAUUUUCUUUCACAAAAAUUAGCAUAUGCACCUUGUUCAAAUCUGAGAAACAGCCUCGAGGGAAAGUACCACGUGUGGCACGUUCAUUCUUGAUGUUAAUAGAAACCGCGUCAAGAAUAUCCGAUUUGCCUCUGCGGAACCCCACGCGGUGAAAAUCUGUGAAACCCCACGAAUAUUCACUUCUCAUUCCUUUAUUAGAACACGUGAGCCUUUUUUUUUAAUGAUUUAUUGACACGACCGGCCCCAGCCUAUAUAUCAAUCUGAGGCGGAUCAUGCGGUUUAAUAACUAAAAUUCACGUUACAAACUUAAUACAAGAAUAUAUAAAAAUAAUUUUUACUAUAAACACAUAACAACCUCUGUACCUCAUACGAAAAUAUGUAUUCAAAGUUUGUAUAGUUCUUAUCUCACUAUACAUACUUAUAUUACAAAUAUAUACAUAAAAAACAUAGGCAACAUAAACAUACACAAAAUGCAAAUCAUUUAGCAAUGUAUCUCGUGGCUCAAUCUCAAUUAACUAAAAUUGAUCUACACGAAAUCCUGUAGAAUUUUGGGAGAAAAAAGAUAAAUAGGAAAAAAAUGAGAUUGUGGCUAGUGAGUGGAUAUAGUAUACAUAUAUAAAAAUAAAGUAGCCACACCAAGUUGUAUUUGAUUUAGAACACACGAGUCACAGUAACCUGAUUAACUAAAGAUUCAAGCCAUCAAAAUCUGGGAUGGAAAAAUCUGUGAUGCCACACUCUCACACACAAGAAAACUGCAAAAGUCCCAACAAGAAAGACUCAACUACAAAUAUUAGUAUUAAUCUUUCAAAUACGGACCUUAUAGUAAAUACAAGCAGGUGACCUGAUCAAUCCAAUUUCCCAGACAGAAAGGGAUUGAAGUAAAAUUUCUCAUGACCAGAAAUAUUGUAUUCAUCACCAUCAUCUAAUGUUUGGUUAGAGUUCACAAAUAUCUGUAUGUCAAAACCAUUGCAUCUAAGACACCAUGUAGGUAUCAAGGACAACGUAAUUUCAAAAGUAGAUUGAGUAACCUAGAACAAGCAAACAUGUGUGUUCAUAGGAAAAAAUUUCAUCCAAAACAAUCAAGGCUGAGGGACACAUUGUCGGUCCAGAAAAAUAUUACGAACCCCUGCCAAUACUGAAACCCCCCCCCCCCCGAACCACACCAAAAAAAAAUGCAUGAUAUGGAAACAACAGAAAUCUCUAAGACUUUAGUCGCAAUCCAGUCAUAGAUAAUCUCAGCCAAGUUCCUUAACCUCCUCAAGAUUUAGCAAUGUCUUCUACUUCUAGCUCAAUGGCCGAACUUGGGAUAGCAAUAGUAGAAGAUCACAAGUAUAAGCUAAGCAUAAAAGUGUGGAAACGGAAUUACCAGAAUUUUGAAAGAUUAUCAUGGUCAGGUAUUAAAAAUCUAUAGGUGUAGAAGUUAAACAAGACAGCCGAAGCAGAAGUUAUAAUGGAAAAUCAUAUGCUCAAAAUGUGAAAAAAAUAUAUAUAUAUCCUGACUACAUUCAAUUCUUUAUCUGAAUUCCAGCUGGAAGGCCAGAAACCAUGAACUCCAUAUCCAGUCUUCCAAUUAUCCAGGUAAAUGGCCUUAUUCUCUGCCCAAAAGGAAAUUAACAACGAGACAAUUAUACAUAACCCAUCUCUGUGUUGACACACUCUUUACCCUAACAAGAACAUGCGUCAUCAGAGCCAAUAAAAUCCCCACAAUAGUUAAUCUUGGAAUAACGACCACAUAUGACAUGAUUGCUUACGAUCAGUCCCUCCAUAGUUCCAUGGCUUUGUUUGACUUAAGGAAAUUAAUUUAAUUAAGGGAAGUAAGUUUAUUUGUUUUUUCAAGACUCACGGAAUUAAAAAUAAUAAAACUACGAAUUUUUAUAUAAAUUUUGUUAUACAAAACUAACAUUGUAUAUUUAAAAUAGUUGAAUUAAAUAUCUUUUAGCUUACACGAUUUGUUUUUACAAUAAAAUCUCUUUAUAAUCACAAUAUUUGGACCAAAUUAUUUUCUUAUUUUUUAUUUAUUAUGAGAAGGUUAUAACUUGAUAGAGUUGUGAUUAUAAAUUUUUUUUGAAAAUAUGUAAAGUCAUCUAAAACGUCUAAGUAUUUGCAUUCUCUUCAAUGUUUUUCUUUUAAUGUAACUACUAUAAAUAUUAUUUAAUGAUUUGAUAACAACUUUAAAUAAUAAAACAUUAUCCCUAUCAACUUUAGAAAAAUACUUUAUGAUGUCUUAAACCUUUGAUAUAUGUGUGUGUGUUUUGCAAUAUACAAAUAACUAUUAUUAUGUGAAAGCAAGUUUCUAAAAAUAUGAUUUAGAAAACCUAAAACUUAUUUCAAUACCUAAAUUGGGAUCAUAAUUUUUUUAUGACAAUAUAAAAGUUAUUCCGAUAUAAAAUAUUACUAUAGAAAGAUUUUAUUAUAUUAUUUUAUAUUUCUAACCAACUAAUAAAUUUAUGCUAAAAUCAAUUUCCCUACGUGCAUUAUGUCAAGUAUUAUAAUGAUGAAUUGCAAACAUUAUUAGCCCAAUUAGUUUUUAACAAGCAGAGGCAAAGCUAAAGGUGGCCUAACCCAGGUUGGUAAAAAAAAAAAAAAAAAAAAAAAGAGUUAACUACAAACUUACCUCUAUGGUAAAAAAAAAUUAAAAGAAAUAGGUAAAGCUGUUUCGUUUAGUAUUAAGUAAAUAAUAUAUUUAUCCAAGUUCUAAGGGCAUGUUUGGUUGACAGGAGAGGAGGUGGGAAAGGAAGUGAAUUUAAAAUCUUGAAUAAUUUCUUUUGUUUGGUUGGCAUAAACUAAUAGGAAUUUAAUUUCAACAGAAAUUUAAUAUCUGGUAUAAUAAGGAAUUCGAAUUCUUCUUUGAAAUGUAGGAAUUCUAAUUCCUUGACUUAAAAAUAAUUGAAUUGUCCUUUGUAACCUUAAAACAUUUCCAAAUUUUCAAUUUUGCCCUUAGUUUAAAAUUUAGAAGAUCAAACCCUAAAAUCACUUUAUCUCUCGAUUUCUCUCUAUCUAGCAGCCCCCUCUAUGAUUUUCAUCCAUUUUCCCAGCCACUGCCAUCGAUUCAAAUCAGUUGCUGCCGUCGAUUCAAAUCAGUUGCUGCCAUGGAUUCAUCUUAAAAUAAGAAGAACAAGACGAAAACCGAUGUAAAUUUUUAUGAUUUUAUAGAUUUAUUAAGUUGUUUUAAUGUUAAUUUUUUUGAUUUGUUGAGUUUAUGAUUCUGUUUGGUUGCUGAGAAAAUUAUGGCUAAUUUAUUUUUGUUUUGUGUGUUUAUUGAACUAGACUUGAUUAUUUUCUCUUUCAUUAUAUUUAAACAUUAGUAAGUGAAUAAAAAAAUGCAUAUGGAGCAUGAAUUAAACAAAUAAAGAGAGAAGAAACAUAGAGGAUGCAGAGAAUUACGAAACGAGAGAGAGCUAUUUAUUCAUUUAUUUUUUCCACUCCGAACAGUUUUAUCAGCGAGGUGACAUAGUUGAAAGAGUAAUCGCAUUAACAGAGCAAUGGUCUUCAGAAUGUGAUACGAAUUGACCAGAAGCGACUCGGCUGACGGAAAAUGCCGGUUGGGUUGGUUUCGGAAGUGUCAAGAUGUCACUUCCUAACAUAACAGCCACAGAAGACAUAGUAGGUCUGUCUAUUGGAUCUUCCUGAACGCACAACAAUCCAAUAUGAAUAUAUUUCAAUAAUUCAGCCUGAUCGCAUGACUGUUUUACUACUGAAUCCAUCAACUCUGCUGCAUGUCCUUCACACCAUAGUUUCCAUAUCUGAAAUUGAUGUAAACAAAGAUGAUAUGAGGGUGAGAGGGUAUCAAUCAUAUGAUAUGAGGGUGAGAGGGUAUCAAUCAUAUGAUAUGAGAGUAAGAGAAUAUCAACCAUUGGCAGUUAUUUAUUUUUCCAGAAAGAAAGAAAGAAAGAAAGAGAAAAUUACAUACAUAAGCAAGGAGACUUGGACCAUGUUCUAAAUGAAAAAAUCCACUGCUCUUUUUCCCACUGAUAAUCUCCAGCAGAACAACUCCAAAACUGAAAACAUCUGAUUUCACUGAAAAUAUCCCUUCCAUAGCGUACUCCGGGGCCAUGUAUCCACUGUUUUGAAAAUAAAACAAUAAUGAUAUCAUAAUUAGCUAAAACCAUACACAAUACAAUAUGGGUUGGCUAUGUUAAAGCCUUGAAAACAAAGAAAUCAUACACAGAAAGGAAUGGAAUGUACUUACUAUGUUCCAACGACUCUAUUGGUAUUAGCUUCACUUUGGUUUCCACCAAAAAUUCUCGCCAUUCCAAAAUCAGAUAUCUUUGGGUUCAUCUCAUGGUCGAGUAAAACAUUACUAGCUUUGAGAUCCCGAUGAAUUAUUUUGAGUCGAGAAUCCUCAUGUAAAUACAAAAGACCUCGUGCAAUUCCCUUAAUGAUGUUUAUGCGUCUUUUCCAAUCCAAUUGUAAACUUCUCAUUGAAUCUAACAAUUAGUUGGAAAAAUUAAACAUUUAGCAUGAUUAGAAGAAUGCCUUGUGGCUUAACGAGAAAAGUAAAACAAACGGAGGAAAAAGAAAGACGCGGUACAGUUGUUGUUAUGCUAGUAGUUAAUUACGUUCCACAAGCAGAGCAAACAGCACCACUUCCGACUUGGAAGGCCUAGUACAAACCAGAAUAAAGCUGAAAUAUCCCACAUUAUGCUUCUACUUAUACAACUUAAAAAUCAGCAAUCACCAAGCAAUAAAUGAAAUGCAACUUCUCAUGUGUACAUUAGCUAAUAUUAGAAAGGGUCAGUGACAAACCAAAGAGGAAAACAUCUAGGCUUUUAUUAGGCAUAUACUCAUAGAUGAGCAGCGAUUCGUUUUCCUCCAAGCAGCAUCCCAAGAGCCUCACGAGAUUUCUGUGUUGCAAUUUGGCAAUAACUGUCACUUCAUUCUUGAACUCUUGUAAGCCCUGGCCAGAUGUUCUUGAGAGCCUCUUCACUGCAAUUUCCUUGCCAUCCCCUAAUACACCCUGCAAUUAAAUUUUCUUUUCAUAUGCAUGGAUUAAUGUUGCGAUUUAUAGCUGCAUUGGCAUCACUUCAUAGUUACCUUGUAGACGGGGCCGAAUCCACCUUCUCCAAGCUUAUUUUCUUGAGAGAAAUCCUGAGUAGCCUUGACUAUGUCGAUGAGAUCCAAUGGAAACAGAGGAAACGCUUGAGAUUCCUCCUGCUUCUCUCCAUGUAGAAGAACAUCAAAUGAGUAGUCGUUGCUAAUUCUGCCAUCUCCUGCCCCUAGAUUAAGCAAUUGAAACUUUUGAUGACUCUUUGCUUUCUCUUCUGCAAGACAAAUGAAUUAACUUUACUUUCUAAUUGAAAAAGAAAGGGAGGCGGGUGGAGUUGAAACUGCAGGAGCCGUUACCUCGGACUCUUUUAUUUCUUCUCCUGAUUAUACACCAAAGAAAAGAAGUAGACAGCAAAAAUACUAUGAUUGCUGAUGCAGCUUCCGCAAUCGUAAUCCAUCUUUUACGAGUUUUGUUAGGUGCAGUGACGGUAACUGUUGGGGUGUCGACGAGGAAACGGUACAGCUCGUACCUUAUAGAACAACUUGGGCAGAAAAUUCUAGCCCCAAGCUUUCCCUUGCUGCAGGUUGGAAUUUGAGCGACAGCCGAGUUCAGGCAAACAUUGCAGUCCGAUUUUGACAAAUCUGGUAUGCAAUGCACAGUAGUUUGAAGUGUAUCAAAGCUAGAGAUAUUAAUCGUUUGGGCUGCGUACUUGGAAUCGCUAGAGGCUGCAUUUCGAAUUUCAUCAUUGAACGUCUGAUUCAAAAUCUGAGCAAGCUUAUCAGGUUCGGUGGUGUAGUUUUCGUUUUUCACGCACAAGAAUGGAGAUGUAUCCAGAGUAGUGGCGAAAAAUUUGUUAGAAUAUCGGACCAUACAAAUGUCAUACCAAAUGGUUGCUUCCUUGGUGCCGUUACAGGAUUCCACUAGGAUAUCGAUUGCAUCAAAUAUGCAAUUUUGGCAGACCUGGUGAGAAACGUCAAAUCGACAAAGAAAAAGACCGUAAACUUUGUCGGGAUUAUCUCCCACGCUUGCAUUGCGGUAGAGUGAGUUGCCACCUUCUUCGUGAAGCUUCCGGUUGAAGAGUUUACUGAGAUUGUAUAUGUAGAUGAUGGAAGCAGUAUUAUUAGUGCCGCGUGGGCAGAAUUUGUACUGAUAGUCCACGGGGUUGGUGGCUUCAGCUUCAGCGUCCCAUGAACUUCGUAACAUAAGCAUAGCUAAGCAAAGAAAGGAAACAAGGUGAAGCAACCGAAUUAUGAUCCGCAUAUUUGUUAGUUAAUC
rnacentral:lncRNA from 1 species